rnacentral:rRNA from 1 species
CUACGGUGAAUACGUUCCCGGACCUUGUACACACCGCCCGUCAAGCCAUGGAAGCUGGGUGUACCUAAAGUACGAUAACCGUAAGGAGUCGCCUAGGGUAAAACUAGUAACUGGGGCU